rnacentral:rRNA from 1 species
AUUGAACGCUGGCGGCAGGCUUAACACAUGCAAGUCGAGCGAGCGGCGGACGGGUGAGUAAUGUCUGGGAAUCUGCCCGAUGGAGGGGGAUAACUACUGGAAACGGUAGCUAAUACCGCAUACUAUCAGAUGUGCCCAUAUGGGAUUAGCUAGUAGGUGGGGUAAUGGCUCACCUAGGCGACGAUCUCUAGCUGGUCUGAGAGGAUGACCAGCCACACUGGAACGGAGACACGGUCCAGACUCCUACGGGAGGCAGCAGUGGGGAAUAUUGCACAAUGGGCGCAAGCCUGAUGCAGCAAUGCCGCGUGUGUGAAGAAGGCCUUGGGGUUGGAAAGCACUUUCAGCGAGGAGGCGUUACUCGCAGAAGAAGCACCGGCUAACUCCGUGCCAGCAGCCGCGGUAAUAC